rnacentral:rRNA from 1 species
UACGUAGGGGGCAAGCGUUGUCCGGAUUUAUUGGGCGUAAAGAGCGUGUAGGCGGCUUUGCAAGUCCGUUGUGAAAACUCGAGCUCAACCUCGAGACGCCGGUGGAAACUGCAAGCUAGAGUCCGGAAGAGGAGAGUGGAAUUCCUGGUGUAGCGGUGAAAUGCGCAGAUAUCAGGAAGAACACCCGUGGCGAAGGCGGCUCUCUGGGACGGUACUGACGCUGAGACGCGAAAGCGUGGGGAGCGAACAGG